GCGGCCGCUGGUGUGCCGUUACCGCCCGCUCCGAUCGUGAGGGCGGGCGGCGGCCCCGGCGCCUCGGGGGACGCGGCCGCGGCGGCGGCCGAAAGGCGCCCAUGGUGUGGGACAGCACCGGGGCUCGGGCUCGCCGAGGGCUCCGGGACAAGGGCGCUGCCCGGUUAGCCUCAGUUUUACCUCGUUGUGUGACGAGACACGCGGAACACCCAGCGUCUGAGAUGGCUGAAUCAGAAUCUCAGGAAGAAAACUAUUAUAACGAGGGAAAGAUGGUGGAGAACUUUAAUAUGGACAUGGAAGAACUUCUGGACGAAAUGGAAAAACUAACAGUGCGUGCAGCCUGGAUGGCCUACGACUACGUGGCCAUCCAGACCAACCCAGGCCCCUACAAUGCCAUGCAGCACUUGGAAGAUGCCUUCCUGAUGUGCAAAGAGCAGAUGGAGAAGAAAUGGCAAGAGGUGCUACUGGAAUCUAGAGGUGAAGGGCAAAAAAAGGAAUAAAUUGAACUUGGUCAUGCUGCCAGAAUGACAGAAUCCCUUGGAAAAUCACUUAGGCCCCUUUUCCUCCCAGCUGUGGAGGAUUCACAGGCACUGUGGGAAAUGGGCUUUCCUCUUGCUAAGAACUACUUAUUUGUGAACAUCUGUGGCAGCAUUUUAAUGAGAUUACACAUACAGCUUCAUAUAGCUGAGGGUAAAAGGCAGCAGUGUGUGUAUUAGCAUGAUGCCCAUUCGUAAUCCCUGUAGUGUUUGCACACACAAUUGACACACCCUCUGACCUUUUCCCUGGAAGAUCAUACUCACUCCAUGGUCAGUAUAACUGGAAUUCUUAGAAACCUGAACAAACUGGGAGGAUGGGGAGUAGGGGUGCUGUAGAGGACCAACACAGUGGCAGUGGUAGCCCAUGGCUUUCAAAGAAAACUGAAGAAUUGCUUAUUUUCCCAAAUGAAACACAGGUUACAUUCUAGGUUUGCAGAUAGAGUGAGAGUUGGUUUUAUUUAGUAUUAUCAUCUAGGUGUUCAAUUACAUAGUUUUAUUAUUUAGAUGUCUCAUUUAUAGUUGUUGCAUCUUCUUCCAUUAGAUUUUUAACCAUUUCUUUGAACUGUUUUUCCCAGAUUGUUCCUCUCAAACCCUCUGAAGGUGGCAUGAAAUAAAAAUGUUUUACCAUUACA